rnacentral:rRNA from 1 species
AACGAACGCUGGCGGCAUGCCUAACACAUGCAAGUCGAACGAGAUCUUCGGGUCUAGUGGCGCACGGGUGCGUAACGCGUGGGAAUCUGCCCUUUGGUUCGGAAUAACAGUUGGAAACGACUGCUAAUACCGGAUGAUGACGAAAGUCCAAAGAUUUAUCGCCAGAGGAUAAGCCCGCGUAGGAUUAGCUAGUUGGUGUGGUAAAGGCGCACCAAGGCGACGAUCCUUAGCUGGUCUGAGAGGAUGAUCAGCCACACUGGGACUGAGACACGGCCCAGACUCCUACGGGAGGCAGCAGUGGGGAAUAUUGGACUAUGGGCGAAAGCCUGAUCCAGCAAUGCCGCGUGAGUGAUGAAGGCCUUAGGGUUGUAAAGCUCUUUUACCCGGGAUGAUAAUGACAGUACCGGGAGAAUAAGCUCCGGCUAACUCCGUGCCAGCCGCCGCAGUAA